rnacentral:rRNA from 1 species
UACCCCGAGAAAAAGAAAUCAACCGAGAUUCCCCCAGUAGCGGCGAGCGAACGGGGAGCAGCCCAGAGUCAACAUCAAUAUUUACCACAGGAGAAGGGUCUGGAAAAGCCGGCAAUAAAGGGUGAUAGCCCCGUAUCUAAAGCGGUAAGUGUUGUGAACUCGAAGAGUAGGGCGGGACACGUGUUAUCCUGUCUGAAUAUGGGGGGACCAUCCUCCAAGGCUAAAUACUCCUGACUGACCGAUAGUGAACCAGUACCGUGAGGGAAAGGCGAAAAGAACCCCGGCGAGGGGAGUGAAAUAGAACCUAAAACCGUGUACGUACAAGCAGUAGGAGCACCCGAAAGGGUGUGACUGCGUACCUUUUGUAUAAUGAGUCAGCGACUUAUAUUCUGUAGCAAGGUUAACCGCAUAGGGGAGCCGUAGGGAAACCGAGUCUUAACUGGGCGUUAAGUUGCAGGGUAUAGACCCGAAACCCGGUGAUCUAGCCA